GACGAACGCUGGCGGCGUGCUUAACACAUGCAAGUCGAACGGAAAGGCCCUGCUUUUGUGGGGUGCUCGAGUGACGAACGGGUGAGUAACACGUGAGUAACCUGCCCUUGACUUUGGGAUAACUUCAGGAAACUGGGGCUAAUACCGGAUAGGAGCUCCUGCUGCAUGGUGGGGGUUGGAAAGUUUCGGCGGUUGGGGAUGGACUCGCGGCUUAUCAGCUUGUUGGUGGGGUAGUGGCUUACCAAGGCUUUGACGGGUAGCCGGCCUGAGAGGGUGACCGGCCACAUUGGGACUGAGAUACGGCCCAGACUCCUACGGGAGGCAGCAGUGGAGAAUAUUGCACAAUGGGCGGAGGCCUGAUGCAGCAACGCCACGUGCGGGAUGACGGCCUUCGGGUUGUAAACCGCUUUCGCCUGUGACGGAGCGUGAGUGACGGUAAUGGGUAAAGAAGCACCGGCUAACUACGUG
rnacentral:rRNA from 1 species